CGCGGGAUUAGAGUUUGAUCCUGGCUCAAAUUGAACCCCGGCGGCAUGCCUUACACAUGCAAGUCAAACGGCAGCACGGGAUCAAUCCUGUUGGCGAGUGGAGAACGGGAGAGUAAUACAUCACAUCGUGCCCUGUACUGGGGGAUAACCCGGCGAAAGCCAGACUAAUACCGCAUACCACCUAACGUUGAAAGCAAGGGAUCGCACUACCUUGCGCUAUUGGAGCGGCCGAUGUCCGAUUACCUUGUUGGCGGGGUAAAAGCCCACCGAGGCGACGAUCUGUAACUGGUCUGAGAGGACGACCAGCCACACUGGGACUGAGACACGGCCCACACUCCUACAGGAGGCAGCAGUGGGGAAUUUUGGACAAUGGGCGCAAGCCUGAUCCAUCCAUGCCGCGUGCGGGAAGAAGGCCUUCGGGUUGUAAACCGCUUUUGUCAUGGAAGAAACGCUCCGGAUUAAGUACCUCAGAGUAAUGACGGUACCUGAAGAAUAAGCACCGGCUAACUACGUGCCAUCAGCCGCGGUAAUACGUAGGGUGCAAGCGUUAAUCGGAAUUACUGGGCGUAAAGCGUGCGCACGCGGCUUUGCAAGACAUAUGUGAAAUCCCCGGGCUUAACCUGUGAACUGCAUUUGUGACUGCAUGGCU
rnacentral:rRNA from 1 species